rnacentral:siRNA from 1 species
CUCAAGUGCAGUAGGCAGCAU